CCCCAGUAACGGCGAGUGAAGCGGCAACAGCCCAGAUGUGAAAUCCGGCCCUAGGCCCGAGUUGUAAUCUGCAGUUGAGUCUUCUGGCAGAGCGCCGCCCAAGUCCCCUGGAAUGGGGCGCUGUAGAGGGUGAGAGCCCUGUACCGGCGCGCGCCGAGCCUCUGUGAAGCUCAUUCGACGAGUCGAGUAGUUCGGAAAUGCUGCUCUAAUUGCGGGGUAAACCUCCCGUAAGGCUAAAUACCGGCCAGAGACCGAUAGCGCACAAGUAGCGUGAGCGAAAGAUGAAAAGGGCCUUGAACAAGGGCGUCAAAAUGUAUGUGAAAUUGUUAUGGGGGAAGCGCUCGGUGCCAGACUCGGGUGCGGCGGGUUAGCCGUCCUUUUGGGCGGCGCACUCCGCCCGCCCCGGGCCAGCAUCAGUUCGGCCCGGCGCCUAAGUCCGCAGGGAAUGUGGCUCUUCGGAGUGUUAUAGCCCCGCGGCGACGCGCCGGACUGGACUGAGGAUCCCGCGCUUCGGCACGGAUGCUGGCGUAAUGGCCCCUAGCGACCCGUCUUGAAACACGGACCAAGGAGUUGACCUGGCAUGCGAGUGUACGGGUGGAAAGCCCUAGCGCGCAAUGAAAGUGAUCAUAGGUGGGAGCCUCGGCGCACCAUCGACCGAUCCUGAAGUUUACGGAUGGAUUUGAGUAAGAGCAUGCCGGGUCUGACCCGAAAGAAGGUGAACUAUGCAUGAAUAGGGUGAAGCCAGAGGAAACUCUGGUGGAGGCUCGCAGCGGUUCUGACGUGCAAAUCGAUCGUCAAAUUUGUGCAUGGGG
rnacentral:rRNA from 1 species